UACUGAAUCAAAGAGUUUACACAAACUCCUGAUGUCGUAAGGGAAAAUAAUGAUAAUACCUUACUAAUAGUGUCGUCCAAAUCUGGUGCCAGAAGACUCGGUAAGACCAGAGACGCAAACGUUAAUCAUCAUAAACAGGCGUAAAGGGUUUGUAGGCAGCUUUCUUAAAGAAUAUAAUUAACAAAAUAAAGUAUUUUCAAUGAAAGCUAGAAUCAAAUAUAGGUUAUAGUGUAUAACGCUUAGAGGAGGGCUGAUAUCCACAGAUCCUAGGCAGAAUACUAAGGGCGAAGGCCACUUUCCAUAAAUGAUUGACGCUGAGAAACGAAGGUUAGGGUAGGAAAUAGGAUUAGAUACCCCGGUACUCCUUUCUGUAAACGAUGAAUGGUAGUCAUUAGUUUAAACAAAACUAGAGGCGAAGUUAACACGAUAACCAUUCCGCCUUGUGAGUACUACUGCAAAGUAGAAAACAAAAAAAUUAGUCGGUCUCGAAGCAAACGGAGUGAAGCAUGUUAUUUAU
rnacentral:rRNA from 1 species